rnacentral:rRNA from 1 species
GACGAACGCUGGCGGCGUGCUUAACACAUGCAAGUCGAACGGAAAGGCCCUGCUUGCAGGGUACUCGAGUGGCGAACGGGUGAGUAACACGUGGGUGAUCUGCCCUGCACUUCGGGAUAAGCCUGGGAAACUGGGUCUAAUACCGGAUAGGAGCCAUUUUUAGUGUGAUGGUUGGAAAGUUUUUUCGGUGUAGGAUGAGCUCGCGGCCUAUCAGCUUGUUGGUGGGGUAAUGGCCUACCAAGGCGGCGACGGGUAGCCGGCCUGAGAGGGUGGACGGCCACAUUGGGACUGAGAUACGGCCCAGACUCCUACGGGAGGCAGCAGGGGGGAAUAUUGCACAAUGGGCGCAAGGCUGAUGCAGCGACGCCGCGUGGGGGAUGACGGCCUUCGGGUUGUAAACUCGUUGCGGUAGGGAAGAAGCUUUUUGUGACGGUACCUAGAGAAGAAGCACCGGCUAACUACGUG